UGUGCUGAGUUUGUGUUCCUUCCAGCUCCCUCAGAGUGGGUGGAUCAGUGCAGCCCAGCCCAGCCUGCCAUUUACUACAUCAUCUUCUGGCUUUCCUCAGCUGCACAGCAGAACAGUCUAGCUCAGCCUGCCAGCCUGCCUGUGCCAGUAGACCUCCUGCGUUCAUUCCAGCUCCCUCAGAGUGUUUGAGUGACUCCUGCAGCCUGCCGUUUCGCUCCCCUUCCGCUGGCUUCUCUCGGUAAUUCAGCAUAGUGGUCUACCCCCUAAUGCCAGCCUUUCUGCCACCCAGAUAGCGGGGUCCUGCAGGAACAGCUGAGUGAUGGCAAGUAAAUGGGACUGAAGAGGAUAAGGUUACAGGAAGGAGGUGAUGUGAGAUACUCUUAUACCUGAAAUCAAUCGGAGCAGGUCAAAGCUUACUGUCAGCCAUGGGAAUUUACAAGCAUUCCAAAGAGGCUGAGGAAAUCCAGGAAACCACAAUGACAGCUCUACUUGAAAAGACCAUUAUAUGAUAGUUACUUGAGAGAGAAAAUAUAGCAUAUUUUACCCCAUUCAUGAAAGAUUAGAAAUAUCACUUAUAUUAAACUGUUUGGUUUAAUAAAUGAGUUAGUUUUAAUUAGAGCUGGUCAGGAAUUUUUUGAUAGAAUGCUUUUUGUUGGAAAAUGCCAGUUUGUUGAAACCAAAACUUGGUGCAGGAAUGUAGCAGGUUCAACAAAGUUUUCAGGCGGGGUUUCUGAGGUACAGGAUGGAAUAUCUAGUCACAGAGGGAGAGAGGCAGACAGACAGUACCAGAAAAGCUUGGGGGCACUCACCUGGGUCUUGGGAGGCCUACAUUCAAGAUCUUUAUCCAAAUCAACUAGAGUGGGGAUUCAAACCUGGGUCUUGCACAUUGCAGGGGAUUUUCUAAUACAAGGCUAUUUGGAGGCCCCCCAUCUGUGGGUGUUUUGUGUGUGGGGAGGAAACUUCAGAAGGUUUGUUUUGUCCCAAAGUGCAACAGAAAAUUUUUUGAAAUCUUGAAAAUUUUUGUGGGACAGGAGAACUAUUUUCCUACUAGCUGUAGUUGUAAUGCAUUGCGGGAAGAUAUUUGUUUGCAUCAACUGGGAUUUUCCAUAUAAAGGUCAUAGUGAUUGACUUCUUUGAGAUAUGGCUAUGUUAUUACUCAUGUCUUGCUGUAUCAUGUGCAAACUUUUUGAAAUGUACCAUUUGUUUUUCUCUUGAAAUAAUUUACAUUUUAUAGGCAAGAAACCUCCUCAGAGAAAUUACUGGUUAUUUUUCCAUCCGUAUGUUUAACAAUGAGCUUGGUGUGAUGCUGUGUAUAAGAAAGAUGACCAUUUGUAUAAUUGUUUCUAUGACUGUUAAACAAUUGCAACAAAUCUUGUACAAUGUAUACCAUGUAAGGUGUCAAUGGAAAAGUUACGAUUUGCUAAGUAUGAUUAUCCUGUUUAUAUGCAUGUAUCAUCUUUAUAUGUGAAGUUAUGAAUAUUGGCUAUGGACUUGUAUCUUAAACAUGUGUUGUAUUCCUGGGUGACACCCCGCAGACAGAAUUUACAUCGGGGCUAGACAGCUAUGUGUUGAUGGACCAUCAAGGACACUCCACUCUCAUGCUGCCCAGUAGGUCUCGCUGCGGAUGCCUCAGACAGCAGGGAGCCAAUGGCCAAUCCCCUGUGAUUCAGCAAAACAUGUAGGGGCAUGUGAUAUGCUCAUGUGAUCUUGGCCAGUAACUUUCCACAGGCAGGGGCUGUGGGCUUUGUUUGGAACAGUACAUUCCUAAGAACAUGACCGAGGAUAUAUAAAGACACUCGAGACACCUCCAUGGUGCCUCUUUCCUGCUCUUAUUCUCUGGAUUGUGGAUUAACAACUAAAAGGAGCACCUUGAACUAUGGACUGAGCACCUUCCAAUCUUUUGGAAAUUGCCAGAGAUACUUUUAAAGCCAGCAGUCUAUUUCAUCACUGCUACAAACCUGAUAUAAGGACUUUGCAAUCAUUUGUAUGUAUAUGAUCUAUUAACCAUUUAUAACUCUCUUCUUUUCUUUUAUUAUUGAAUCUUUAGUUAGUUUACUAAGGAUUGGCUGACAUUGUCAUAUUUGGGAAAGGUCUGAGAUUCAUAUUGACCUGGGGAUAGAAAGAAUCUCUCAUAUGAUUAAAUGGGUUUUCAAUAACCUCUCACUAUAUUAGAUUGGGUUGCCUGGAUGGGAGCUAAGGGCUGGAAUGCCUAAAGGGAACUGUGUUUGGCUUCUUGUUAACCAGCGUGGUACUGCAGAAGCUCUUUUGUUACUGGUCUGGUGAAUCUAAUUAUAGAGUAAACCACUAGCUUUGGGUAUUGUCUGCCCUACUUCUUGCAGUCUGCCCUGCAAGAGUGUGGCAUUAUCAGUGUGGUCUAUCACAGGCAGUCAUACCUGGUGUAAGAGCUUUAGCUGGAUAAGCACCCAAACAUUCUGAUACUUUUUAAUUUUUUUUUAAAUCCUUGUCAGAGCGGGAAAUUUCUCCCUCUGUAUUGGCCAGAAAUAUAAUGGAAAAGAGCCUCUCUUGAAGUAUCUUGGUUGUUUUCAGCAAGAACCAGAAAGUCCAGAGGCACACAAAAAUGAAGUAAAAAAGAUUAAGCAAAUCUUUGCAGAUCUUAAACCUGCCAACCAAACCAAACAUCCCACCAACAACAAAACCACACAAACCACCACCACCACCACCACAAUUUUGGUUUGAGUUUUUGGGGCAAAGGUUUGGCUCUUUCUUUUAAGAGUUUACAAUUUAUAGUUCCAAUUUUUGAAAUAAGUUUCUUUUGUGAGAAGUUAAUGUUUCCUUUUGUAGGGUGAGUUUAGAUAGUAAACCUCAAGGUCACCACUCAGAUAAUUUUGAGGAAAUGUAUAGUUGGUAUUUUCCAAGCUGCAUAGGUGGAUUUGUCCCCACAACUUCUAUUGGCUUGAGUGGGAACGUCUGGCUAAAUUCACAUUGUCAGGUUUGAAAACCUCAGUUCUCUGAAAACCUCUGCCUAUAAAACAUCCAUAGUACUUGUCUCCAUACUAGUCACUAACUGAGAAUUUUCAACCAGUUGGUUAAGUUGUGGUUCUACUCUGAAACAUCGUUAAGAUGAAAGAUGCCUCCACCCAAUGGAUCCGCUUUUUGUAUGUAACUACUUCUUGAUAUUAGUGACAAAGAGGUGUUCAUUCUUCAUUAAUCCCAUUUAACACUUUAGAGCCUGGGUUAGAGAAAGAAAUCUGUAUUCUAUUCUGUUUUGUGAAUCUUCAACAGAAUUGUUUGAUAAGUUCCAGUCAGUCACACAUGCACAGCCCUGAGAUUGCACAGGUGUCACUGAGGGCAUACCUUAAAGAUGCACAGAUAUAACUGCUGUUGUGAUUUGCCCUACAAAACCUUCAUUACUAGUUGUGAUACAUCAGAAGGAAAGAGCCCACGUUGAUUCUCAGAUCCCAGGUUGUUUCCAAGGCUAGCAAAAGGAGGCUUAGUGCAUUUGAUAUGGAAAUCAAUAAGAGACAAUAAAUGUGGAACACCAUGUAACAUUACUGGGUUUCACCAGACUCCAGUACUGUUGCAGGUGGUGUAAGUGGCUCUGUGUAGCUGACCGCAUAGCCACUUAAACUGUGUGGAAAAUGACUUUUGCCAUUGAUGCUGUAGUUGCUUUUAAGUGCUUUGCUGAGCCUAUCACCAGUAAAAGCUUUGUCUUGGCUUGAAUCUCUCUACUUUAGUCUCUCACUGAUUGGGCUAUUUCUUAAAGCAUGGAGCUGCUGCCACAGAAGCAAACAAAAUAUUACAUGGUGCCAAAGCAUUAUGCAAUGAUGCUAUGUUACAGAAUCAUUUUUCAGAGCAGAGCUGCAACUUAAGCAAGAUUUUGGUCCAAAUAAAUUGACAUAAGCUGGCUUGAAUCAAAUUGCAUGCUGUUUUUUUUUUUCCAACAUGCUACCUUGCUAAAUUCCACAUUCACCCCCAAAUGCUGUUAAUCUAAGUGGGCUGUGUUGUUUAGUAUAACACAGUGCCUUUUCUCUCCCUUUUAAAAACCUAUUGGGUUUGAUUUGCCAGUCUACAGUCCUCCGGAAUCUUACAUCUCACUAGAGAAUGCCUACAAUUAGCAACUGAUUUUGUUCCUUUCCAGCUUCAUUUCUUUUAAACUGAUGGAGGUUACCUGGCCAUGGACCUUUGUCUGCCCCCAAAUCUGCAGUCUUUAAAUAAUGCUAUCCAGAAUGACUGUCCCUGUUUAAUUCCUUCAUUUUGUGGGCAUUUGGCAAUGAGUGAUUUUCUAGUUUUGCUCCAGGGAACCCAUUCCAGAACAAAAUGUUAUGCAGGUACAACUGUAAACAAAACUGAAAUGGCUAGGCCAUGCAGUAGCAAUUCAGGAUCAUUUGCCAUCUUCUUGGAAUGCGGGGAAGUGUCAGCUAAGGUCAGGACUCUUCUGGGAAAAUUAGAUGGAUAGUAAAUGUAUUACCAGCCGACUAUCAAACUCCACAUACCAUGAACUAUCCCUGACUUAGGCGACCCUUCCCUUCCUGUAAUGACAGAAGGACAGCAACUGUUUAAGAAAUCUGUCACUUUCUUAUCCCCCGUCUCCAAUUCCCCACUACCAAUUUUAGUGAACCAAGUUUUUCCAUUAUAUUCUGUGUGUUUGUGGGCAUAUUUGUAAAGCUCUUUAUUAUUAAAUGAAAUAUUACCUGCAAUUUAAUAUUUGGUGGUUACUCCUCCCCCCCCCCCCGGGGGGGAAUGAAGGGGUACAAUUAUUUAAUGAUCUUCUAAACUUUGUUAUUUUCGUAACACUGCUCUACUUCUUACCAGAUUUUUGGCCAGUUUCCGUUCUCUGUUACACUGAAAUAAACCAGGACUAGCACCCCUGACUUCUUUUUUGGCUGCUUGCUGUAUGUUUCACGAGGACUUGGAGAAUCAAAGACUUUGCACCAAUGGAACUAUUCAUGGAAAGAAAGAUUUCAGGAUAGGGUCCAUAAAUAGCCUGGUGUACCCAGAGAAACUUCUGUCCAUCUACAGCAUCUCUAAGAUGCUUCUUAUCUUGGCAGCUAAGAGCUGACUUGAAUUGAAUUGGACUUGAUGACUUGAACUUGUAUCCUCUGUUUAAGGUAAAGAUUUUUGAGUCUCUGAUUUUGAUGCUGGUCUUCAGUGGGACUAAGCACCCACAAUACCUAUUGAUUUUGAUGGAAAGUGAAGCUGCUCGGCACCUUUUAGGAGUAGACCCUUUGUCUGUUUCUUAUUUUAUUUUACUGUUUUUGUAAAUAAUCCAGUAUAAAACUAUAUACUUCUGGUCAGGGCCUUCUUUCUUCUCUCAUAUAUUUCAUAUUUUCAUGUAUAUACAUACCUGUACACCAUAAACUGUGGUGACCAGUGUAAUUUCCUCAUGAUUCUACUAUUUGAGUGAUGCAACCAUCUCAGUUAUGCUGAUGAUAAAUCCUAGACAUCACCGGACUUUCAUGUGUGCACUCACUCUCUGUCUCUCAUGUAUGAAUGUGUGUGUGUGUGAUGAUGGGGUGCAAUCUAGAGAUUUACUGUUAUGAAUUUGGGAUGACCAUACUACUCAUGAGUGAGAGUUAUGCAGUUCAUCCCAAACAAGUGCCAAUAAUGACUUUAUACUACAUAUUCCCUAUAUGUGCCAUAUGUUCCACAGAAAGCAGUUUUAGGAAUCUUUUAGAGAGUUAUAAAGUUGUUUUUUGGUGCAGAUUUUCAAACCCCUUCACCUGAAAGUCUUAGUUACCAUUAGUACAUUGGUAGAACCUUCCGAGGGAAUGGAAAAUCAUAAAUAAUACAUUUUGGAAUCCCUAAAAAUGUCGUAAAACAGGUUUUCCAUGCAUAAUGUAAUAUUAUUAUUUCACCUGUGGGAUUAUACUAAACAAAACUGAGCACAUAGUGGAAACAAUUUUCUAUGAAUAUUCAUUCAAAUUAAAAACCAAAUUUCAAUUCAGCUAUGUUCAUGACCCAUUGUGUUCACUUUCUUUGAAAUUUCAAACUUUACUAGCACAGAUAUGAAGAGAGACGUGAUGAUUUAGAAUAUUACAAAUAAAUAUACAAUUUAGAUUUGUAUUAUAUUGGUUCCAUAUAUAAAUCUUAGGGUGCUGUUUUGAACAGGUGGCUUUUGUAACUCAUGAACACAGUUUGCAAAUAUUUGCAAUAAACUGCUCUCAAAGGAUUUGCAGACCAAGAAUUGUUUGUGCACAUUAUUUGUGAAUAAUUUUGAUGCAAAAUUCUCUAAUAUAUUUAAUAAUGGGCUUGUGAACAAUUUCCAAACAGGAACAAAGAUGAAAUUUGUCAAAUAAAUUAUUUGUUCAGAUCCACCACAUAUGUGAUGAUGGUAUUCAAGUAAUAACUGUUUUAAUACAAACAUGAUAAAUGAUGCAAAAUGUAUAUAUGACCCUCUCAUCACUGUUAAUCCACCUCAGCUGGGACUGCUUCUGACAUUCCAAACCUGAAAAAAAAAAUUGGAAGAGCCACAAUUAAAAAACAAAAACAAACCCUGUCACAAAAGUUUAAUUAUUUCCAUCUGUCAUAAAUAUAACAGAAGGGUAACCACCUUUCUGUAUACAGUGCUAUAAAAUCCCUCCUGGCCAGAGGCAAAACCCUUUCACCUGUAAAGGGUUAAGAAGCUAAGGUAACCUCACUGGCACCCGACCCAAAAUGACCAAUGAGAGGACAAGAUACUUUCAAAUCUGGAGUGGGAGAACAAAGGGUUCGUCUGUGUGUGUGAUGCUUUUGCCAGGAACAGAUCAGGAAUGCAGACUUACAACUCCUGUUAAGUUCAUAAGUAAUCUAGCUAGAAAUGCAUUAGAUUUCCGUUUGUUUAAUGGCUGGUAAAAUAAGCUGUGCUGGAUGGAAUGUAUAUUCCUGUUUUUGUGUCUUUUUGUAACUUAAGGUUUUGCCUAGAGGGAUUCUCUAUGUUUUGAAUCUGAUUACCCUGUGAGGUAUUUACCGUCCUGAUUUUACAGAGAUGAUUCUUUUACCUUUUCUUUAAUUAAAAUUCUUCUUUU